CCUCGGGAGGCAGCAGUGGGGAAUAUUGGACAAUGGGCGAAAGCCUGAUCCAGCCAUGCCGCGUGUGUGAAGAAGGCCUUCGGGUUGUAAAGCACUUUCAGUGGGGAAGAAAGCCUUGGGGCUAAUACCCUCGAGGAAGGACAUCACCCACAGAAGAAGCACCGGCUAACUCCGUGCCAGCAGCCGCGGUAAUACGGAGGGUGCGAGCGUUAAUCGGAAUUACUGGGCGUAAAGCGCGCGUAGGCGGUCUGAUAAGCCGGUUGUGAAAGCCCCGGGCUCAACCUGGGAACGGCAUCCGGAACUGUCAGGCUAGAGUGCAGGAGAGGAAGGUAGAAUUCCCGGUGUAGCAGUGAAAUGCGUAGAGAUCGGGAGGAAUACCAGUGGCGAAGGCGGCCUUCUGGACUGACACUGACGCUGAGGUGCGAAAGCGUGGGUAGCAAACAGGAUUAGAUACCCCAGUAGUC
rnacentral:rRNA from 1 species